GCUGGCAAUAACAGAUGUCUCAGACAAUGUACUUCAGCAUCACAAGUUUCCCUGAUGGGCACAGUCCCUUACCAGGACUGAGGCUAACAGCAGUGAGCAAUCCUCUGCCUCUAGGCAGCCUCAUCAUACAAUAAUAUGGCCAUGCUUGUUUUUCUGCCUUGCUUCCAACAACCAAACUCUCUCAGACAUCAUUAGCAGAGAUAUCUCUGCACAGUAUUUCACUGCUCUCUGGAGAGGUGCCUUGAAUUCCGCUUAAGUCCCAGCUGCAGAUACCUGACUGAUAUAUCAUUGAGUUAACCUUCUAUCUUUAGGUAGUCCCUAGCUACUAGGGCAGACAGAAAGUAAUGAUGUAAUAACCUUUUUCCUACAUUAAUAAGAAUGCCUCCAAAGACUGCUUAGUCUUGUUUCAUUGAGAGGAAACUAUAUUUGCUGCUCCAGAAUAAGGUUUGUUUAAACUAAAGAGCUUUGGUCUUUCCUGUUUGUGAUUAUUCACUUUUUAAAUGCAACUCAAGUGAGUAUUAGAUGGGACCAGUGUGGGGAGAAUAAGAAAAAAGAAGGCAAAUAUAAUUUAUUUACAGAGUGAGUGCUUCACAUAAGGUUCAUAAAAGCAAAGCAUAUUACGAAAAGUGAAUUAAAACCCAAUUCCUUCCAGGUUCAAUGAGUCUGAUGAGCUAAUUAAGCAAUGCCUUCUCAAAUCCAAUCCCUGAGGUCUUCAGAGAUGAUCAGAUAGCCAAGGGAUACACUUUCAGAACAACUUGCUAUUUCAUUCUCCCUCACAGUUCAGUUCUGUGUACCACACAGGAGCAAUAGCACCCACCUUCACCAAAUCCCUUUGAGAACCCCACAAGGGCAGGCAGGUAGUCUCACAUGACUUGUGGUGUCUCAUAGUAAUCUGGUGCAUGCCAUCGCUGUCCGCAGGAUGAGGUCCGAACUCUCAGCUUUGCACCAUAGGCAUUCCUCUUCCCCUCACUGGUUGAAGAAGGCACCAUUGCAGAAGGAGGCUGUGGGAUCCAUUUUGUCAUUCCUGGUGACCAAGCAAUAUAUUGGCUUACCCGGGGUGAGCACCUAGCUUCAGGAGCUGUCUCGUAUCC
ensembl:lncRNA